CGGCUCCGGUGCGCUCGAGACUUUAUUCACUCCAGAGUCCAACACAGAGACGGACCUGUCGAGCUCUCUAUUCCACACUGCAAGCUAAGCACUCACUGGAUAGAACACACGGACAACUUUUUAUAGAGCUAUUUCCGCUGCUCUAUUUUUGGUUUUCAUUACGGGACUUAAACCUGGGAUUGUACUAUUUUAAAAAGACGCACUUUUUGUUGUUGAAAAAUGUCAUGGUCUUUCAUGUUCAUCGUUUAAAUAAUAAUAUUUGGGUAUAGAACUCGAAAUAUUUGAGAACAAGGGAAACUGUUACACAUGUUUUCCAACCUCUGAAGAAGACUUAACAAGUUAUUCGUUCUUGGGGGGUCGAUAACAAGUGCAAUGAUUGUCAAGGUCUUCUGUUGGGAUUGCCUUACUGCUCAACUGGUCUAAGGAGCCAGCCAUGCACUUUUGUCUGCUCUACUUCUGUCACGGAGAGAGGGCUCGGAGUGGCGGACGCGCACGAAUGUGAAUUACAUUGCAGUCAACUACUCUACUUCAAAGCACUUCAGAUAUCCGCAGAGUUCCCCAAACAAGUGUUUAGGAGUUGUACCGCGGGCGACUGAACGGGACUACUCACAUGUUCCUCUCCCCAAGGGAUGGUUCUUGAUCAUCCGCGGGCAGGAGCGACUUUGCGGCUCCUACAGCAGGAGACGUUUUCUUGUUUUGGGGGAAAUCGGAAUUAAAGGGAGAUGAGACCCGUACUUUGCUACUUCCUGCUCUGUACGUCGUACCUGCUGAAUGCUGUUGCUGAGGAAGUCCCGCAGGAGUUGAUAGAGAGACUGUCUCACAGCGAAAUCCACAGCAUCAGCGACCUCCAGCGGCUAUUGGACUCCGAGAUAGACGUCCCCGUAGGUGCGGGAAAUGAGGUCAUGGAGGAGACCAAGCCGAUGCAGAAGCAUCAUAAGAACUACUCCCAACAGCACGGCUACUCAGACCUGAAGAGCUCACAGAUACACAGCCGACGCAAGAGGAGCGUUGAGGAGGCGGUGCCUGCGGUGUGUAAGACGCGGACAGUGAUCUAUGAGAUCCCGCGCAGCCAGGUGGACCCCACAGCUGCCAACUUCCUGAUAUGGCCGCCGUGCGUGGAGGUCAAGAGGUGCACGGGAUGCUGCAAUACCAGCAACAUGCGCUGCCACCCCUCACGCAGGCACCACCGCACCGUUAAGGUGGCCAAGGUGGAGUAUGUGCGGAGGAAACCCAAGCUGAAAGAGGUCUUGGUCAGGUUAGAAGACCACCUGGAGUGUGUGUGCACGUCACAACAUCACGUGACCGAGCACUCAGACGCAGACACAGGCCACCAUACUAGGGCUAAAGGUAGAAAAAGGAAAGCUAAAAAGCUAAAGCUCAACAAGGAUUUAUUGGCGACAUAAUAAACUUGAACACAUUAUUCCAAAGUCCGGCCGCCGGACCCCCCGGCUCCAACAGUGGACAUAAGGUGAGACCCCAGCAGCAUUGGACUUCAGUGUGGAAGGGGCCAAAGAGAGGAUGCUGCCAUAUUUGGACUGCUGACCUACCCCCUUCCCUGACCCCACCCCACCUACCGCCUUUUAAAAACAAAGAUUACUGUAAAGAGAAAAAAAGAGAAAAAGUUAAUAAAAUGCCAAAGGUGCUUUUUUCUAUUACCGUAAAAAGUAAUGCAGAAGGUCUCUGUCAAGUGCAGCAGAACCAACCAAUCGAACAGUGAUGCGGAUGAGGAUGGUGAAGGCGAUAAAGACCUGGGCAGAAAAGAGAAGAGGAGGACAAGAUGGGUUGUCGUUUGUUUGGGUAAACAGGACAGUUUGACGAUCACAGAGAGAGAUCCAGGAUGGAUCAUUGGAUUAAGCCUUGAUGGGGGAUCUGUUGACUGGAUCCUAAAAGGACACAGAGAGGGACAAUCAGUGAACUCUUUGGGACGUGUGGAGGCUUGCAUGUUCCUAGCCGUUGGCCUAAGUGACACUUGCCUGGACAGUCAAUGACUGACAGAGAGAAAAAGAGAGGGAGAGAGGGAAAGAGAUGUUGAGAGAAGUUGUAGAGAGGUGUAGAAGGUACUGGUCGUGUUACUUGUUGUUCCGGAACUCUCUGUAAACUGUAGUGGAACUUGUGAACAUUCUGGAACUCAUAAAAUGGUUGCCCAUUUUGUUUCUUUUGGAUAAAGUGUUGGGAAAAGUGUUUGCAAUCAUCAGGACCUGUUGUUCCAAGCGGCUUCUCUGCUUCUCUCUCUCUUGGGUUUCCCUAUCUGCUCCUAUUGGGAUUGUGCCAGUCGCCAUAUACACUACAGAACGAUUCAGAAAGGAAGAUUCAUUCAUUGCUACUAAUAAACUAUUUAUACGUGUAAACGUUUUCAUUUCUCUCUCUCUCCCUCCAAGACAUUGUUAUGUUUUCUGUGACAUGUAAGAGUCAUGUUCUGUCUGAUCCUCUGGUAGUGAAUCUUCAUGUCCACAUGUUCAUGUAGUUGUUACGCAUGUUCAAUGUUGUCUUAUUAUGUGCCAGUAUAUUAUCUGAACAGUCUCAAGUCUAGUUGUAUGGGCUGGAAAUGUAAGGAAGCGUGGCGAGGAGGAGAUGGGGAGGACAGAGUCUGUACAAGUACAGGAAGAUGCUUUAUUUUUGUUAAGAAAAUAUAUUAUGCUUACUUAUAUUCAAGUAGGAAGUAUGUUUGUUAUUUCUUUGUUUGUUGUGGUUGAAGGCUUUUAUUUAAUCCAUGGAAACGAUGCAGGAAUGGGGGUGAGGAAAUGUAUAAGUCCCCAGCAAUGCACCCUGUUUGGUGGUGUAGGGCAGCCUUACAUCAGCAGUGCUGUACUGUAUUAUCUAGAGCGCUGGAUAGAGCUAACCUGGUCCCAGAUCAGUUUGUGUUGUCCUCCAAACACAUAUAGUCAUUGGCAAGACAGCACAAACCGAUCUGAGAUCAGGUUAGUGCAGAGCUGGCUGAGGAAGACUCAAUCUGGGGCAUCGUUGGACUGUGUCUCUUUAACCCAGUUAUCUAGCCAAAAGUUACACCCAGUAACCAGAGCGCCAUUAUACACAACAGAACACACACGUUCAGCAUGUGUGUGUGUGUGUGUGCACAUAAAUGUGUGUGUGAAACCACUUUUAACCCACAUCACACUCCUUUGAUAAGAUGGUACCCAGUCCGCCCCACCAGCACACAAGCUGUUCUUAACGAGUACAAAGUCCAUCUUGAAUGAGAGAGAGUUUGUGAACAAACCAACAUGGAUGGUUUCCUAGUUAAUCAAGCAGCAGUCUUCCAUUGACACGUUAACAACGAUGAAGACUGUUCCACUGUUGACACGUUAACAACGAUGAAGACUGUUCCACUGUUGACACGUUAACAACGAGGAAGACUGUUCCACUGUUGACACGUUAACAACGAGGAAGACUGUUCCACUGUUGACACGUUAACAACGAUGAAGACUGUUCCACUGUUGAUGAGUGAAAGAUCGAAAAAGAAGAUACCACUGUUUAUGGAGAGACUGACACCAAAUCUCUAACAACACCCUAUUUCCCGUAGAUUGCAGUGCACUACUUUAGACCAGAGCCACUGGCCAAAAUUAGUGCGCUACAUCGGGAAUAGGUUGUCGUUUGGCACACACUGAAUCAAUAGAAAGACCUGGGCACUUUUCCAAAAUGUCUCAGAGUAGGAGUGCUGUUCAUCUUAUUCAUUAUGAUCUAAACAGCUAAACUGAUCCUAGAUCAGCACUAAAUGUCUCAGAGUAGGAGUGCUGUUCAUCUUAUUCAUUAUGAUCUAAACAACUAAACUGAUCCUAGAUCAGCACUUUAUGAAGUCCUGGGUGAGAGACAUGUUGAGAGAAAAUAGAUGACUGUAUCUGCAGCUGCUUUGUGUUGUGGUAACAACAUCUUCAACUGCACUAUACAGACUUCCAAGGUGAUUCCAUUGGUGCUAUAUGUAUAAAGGAAAUCAGAAGAAGUUUCACCACCAUUUUGCAAUGCAUUCAUUUAUUCAUUCAUUGUCAAUAGACCAGGGACCAUUGCUUACAGUAACUAAAGAAACUGCAACAACACAGGCUAAUAGGAUUUUUUAUUUGGGCCUCUAUUGGAUAAAAACAGCAAUGAUUAUAAUUUAUAUAUUUAUGUUUUCAAUAAUAAAUACAUUCUGCUUAUCAAACUGUA